rnacentral:rRNA from 1 species
GACGAACGCUGGCGGCGUGCUUAACACAUGCAAGUCGAACGGAAAGGCCCUGCUUGCAGGGUACUCGAGUGGCGAACGGGUGAGUAACACGUGGGUGAUCUGCCCUGCACUUCGGGAUAAGCCUGGGAAACUGGGUCUAAUACCGGAUAGGAGCCAUUUUUAGUGUGAUGGUUGGAAAGUUUUUUUCGGUGUAGGAUGAGCUCGCGGCCUAUCAGCUUGUUGGUGGGGUAAUGGCCUACCAAGGCGGCGACGGGUAGCCGGCCUGAGAGGGUGGACGGCCACAUUGGGACUGAGAUACGGCCCAGACUCCUAUGGGAGGCAGCAGUGGGGAAUAUUGCACAAUGGGCGCAAGCCUGAUGCAGCGACGCCGCGUGGGGGAUGACGGCCUUCGGGUUGUAAACUCCUUUCGCUAGGGACGAAGCUUUUUGUGACGGUACCUAGAUAAGAAGCACCGGCUAACUACGUG